GCUGGUAUUUCUCUCUGAAUUUGUGGUUCAACAAAUGAAACUAUAUACAGUAGUUGAUAAAUCUCCUAAUGCCUGCUGCAGUAUAUAUUCUUGAUCCUGCCAGAUUAACAAUCAAUGUCGCUUUAAUGUAAAAUUGAAAUACAAAAACAUUAGAGAGACAACUACAAGCUAGUGUGAACAUGAUAGAGAAUUAGAGAUUAUAGGAUUAGCAUCUCAUUCUUCAUCACCUUGAUUUAUAUUUAUAGGAUUUUCCACCCAUAACAGCAUCCCCCAAGGCCCCAACUCUUCCCCGCGUGGGGUACUCUGUUUCUUGAGCUGCCUAUUAGUGACACAAGGUCCAAUCACCGAGCCCAAGUAAAGCCAGCACCAAAAUCUGCUGCAGCAAAUGUAGGUCCUGACUUUUACCUUCCCAAUUUGAACAGCUUUGUCUCAACCACAGUGCUUAAGUCACCAGAUGCAAGAUUGUUAUAAUCGUUUCAGAGGGACCUGCAAACAACAGCACCUGUGAUCCUUUGGCUUCCUGCAUUUACAAAUUCAUCCAUUAAUAUCAGUGAUAACAAGCAUGGACAACUUCCAUAUAAAUUGAAUGUAGUUUUAUAUAAUUGUUAGAACAUUAGACGAAAAAUCAAAUUACAGAACAAAGGUCUGAAUUUCCAUCCUAUAUAUCAUUGCUAUGACUAGUUUGGUAUUUACCGCUCUUAAGUCCAAUGCAAAUCGUCUUUCGCUGAAAGUCAACCCAAUCGAGUUCUGAAGAAUUCCAUUUUGAAUAUCAUUAUUAAGGAUCAU
rnacentral:lncRNA from 1 species